GUUAAAAAGUUAUCUCUAUUUUUUUGUAGUACAAUGAUGCUGUACUGGUCAAAAUGGUUUAAACCAUAGUACAUUAUUACCGUACGCUGCAGAACUGAAAAAAAGUUUUUAGUUCUGGUUAUGCUAGUGUAACCGGGUGACGCAUGGGUUUGGUACUGCAAUUCCCAUAAGUCUUUGGGGCAGCGUAAUUCUUGCGUCAUAACGUAGUUUGCACGCUAUAAAUAGACGUACGGAAGUAUAGCGCGCCCUCGUUUCAUUCAUUCAUUGACUCUGGAAACAAGCGUGAGCUAGCAUCAAGUAAUUUAUGGUCUGUGUGCUUAUAAAGAGAUGCACGGAAACGUAGCACGCCCUCGUUUCAUUCAUUCAUUGACUCUGGAAACAAGAAUGAGCUUGUAUCAGAAGUCCUUGUGUGUUGAUGGUGAUUGGCCUGGUGAUGCAGUCUUCAGAGUGUUGAAUGAGUUGAGAGUGAAUUAGUUUUUCAUCUUAUUUCCGUGGCAGCUGCAGGGUCUCCUCCAAGGGUGUGACUGGCACUGGUGAGGUGGUGGAGAUUCUUUUGUGGUUCCUGGUGAUUUAUUUAUCCUUUUGAAUGCCGUGGAUUUUGUGCUGCAUUUGGAGUGUGAACUGCAAGUAGUGGCUCUAUUUUUCUACACACGUAUGGUUGUGCCCUGUUGGAGCCCUGUGGUUUGUCAUAAAUUUGUUUUGUUUCUCCUUUUCCUUGCUGAAUGAUAUCUGUACUAGUGUUUUAAACAUUUAAUUGCUUUUAUACAAAAUUUGGUAUUUAUGAAUGUGAAUAAAACUGCUUGUACAAGUAAAACAUUUUCACUACUGUCUGUGGCCAGUUAUUAGCCCACUUGUGGUGGGUUACAUUAGGUUGAAAACAGGGCUUAAAAACGAAAAAAAAAUAAAAAAAUAAAAUAAAAUAAAAUAAAAUAAAAUAAAAUUCAAUCGUUUCACUCCGAGCAGAGCCUACUAAAUAAUAAUAAUAAUAAUAAUAAUAAUAAUAAUAGUGAUAAUACAUACAGCAUUGUAUUUAUUAAAAAACAAAGAGAGUAUUUGCUGUCUUAUCUUUAUAACAAGAUUCUGUCCUAAUGUAAACCUAUUAAACAAAAGGAAAAACAACGGUUUAUAAAUUAAAGUAUUUUUCAAGAUAUUUUAAAAUGUUUGUUGCAUGGUUAAAAAUACCGACGCUAUUCCUGAGAGAAAAAAGAUAAGUCGGGUAUACUGUAACGGUCACUUAGAGCACACUUUGUAUGAUGUAUCUUGUGAAUCUAUUGUUUUUUCACUUUAAUGUUUGGUAUCAUUUUAAAUAUCUUAGUGCGACUGGUAAAAUGGUCGCAAUUACACAGCAGUCACUUGUAUUUUAUG